CGGCCCAGACGGUUGCUCCUAGCGAUAGGAGAGGAAAGUCCAUGCUCGCACUGGCUGCGAUGCCAGUAGUGUUUACGCCAAGGGAAACAAUAACCUUGGGUAUGGAGGAGUCCAUAACGGCUGGCGAAUCUCUCUUGUAGAGAGGAGCCUCUAACGUGCCACAGAGACGAGCUUGAUGGCGACAUCAAGAUGAAACGCGGUAAACCCCUUAAGCGAGAAACCUAAAUUUGGUAAGGGAAGCGCCCAAUGCGAAAUGAAGCGGCGGGGGCCAGGCAAGUCCUGAGAUAAAUUUCCGUCCACGACAAAACAUGGCUUACGGG
rnacentral:RNase_P_RNA from 1 species